rnacentral:rRNA from 1 species
CCUACGGGAGGCAGCAGUGGGGAAUUUUCCGCAAUGGGCGAAAGCCUGACGGAGCAAGACCGCGUGGGGGAGGAAGGCUCUAGGGUUGUAAACCCCUUUUCUUUGGGAAGAAGAUCUGACGGUACCAAAGGAAUCAGCCUCGGCUAACUCCGUGCCAGCAGCCGCGGUAAUACGGAGGAGGCAAGCGUUAUCCGGAAUGAUUGGGCGUAAAGCGUCCGUAGAUGGCCAUGUAAGUCUGCUGUCAAAACCCAGGGCUCAACUCUGGUCAGGCAGUGGAAACUACAAAGCUAGAGUUUGGUAGGGGCAAAGGGAAUUCCCGGUGUAGCGGUGAAAUGCGUAGAUAUCGGGAAGAACAUCGGUGGCGAAAGCGCUUUGCUAGACCAAAACUGACAUUGAGGGACGAAAGCUAGGGGAGCGAAUGGGAUUAGAUACCCCAGUAGUCCUAGCCGUAAACGAUGGAUACUAGGUGUUGCCUGUAUCGACCCAGGCAGUGCCGUAGCUAACGCGUUAGGUAUCCCGCCUGGGGAGUACGCACGCAAGUGUGAAACUCAAAGGAAUUGACGG